UACGUAGGGUGCAAGCGUUGUCCGGAAUUAUUGGGCGUAAAGAGCUCGUAGGCGGUCUGUCGCGUCGGCUGUGAAAAUCCCGAGGCUCAACCUCGGGUCUGCAGUCGAUACGGGCAAACUAGAGUAUUGCAGGGGAGACUGGAAUUCCUGGUGUAGCGGUGAAAUGCGCAGAUAUCAGGAGGAACACCGGUGGCGAAGGCGGGUCUCUGGGCAAUAACUGACGCUGAGGAGCGAAAGCGUGGGGAGCGAACAGG
rnacentral:rRNA from 1 species